GGGGCUUCUCUGUCAGCUAGGGCAUGUCCUUUGGUCUCCCUGAGACUCAGUGCCCUGGUUUGUAAAUGGGGCCAUUGUAACAUCCUUUGUAAAUGAUGAGGACAGGUAGACCUGGGUUAACAAUCUUUUCUGAACUCACCUGGACAGGGGAAACCUGGAGAACACUGCUGGGAAUUGCACUGAAGAAGAAACAUUUGAAUGGGAGGCUGAGUGUUGGAGUAGAUUCCAAUUAUGACCCAGCUAUGGGAUGACUUGGUGUUGGAACUGUUCAGAGAUGGCAUUAUGGCGCCGAUGUCAAGAGCAAGACUUCUGGAAGCUUCGGGUUCAAAUCCCAGCUCUGCCACUUACUUGCUCAAGUUCGUUCACCCUUCGGCAAUCUUAAUGUCCUCCCCUGCAAAGUGGUGGUGAGAGAAGUGUCUACCUCCCACGUUAUCUUAGAAGAAGGAAAGGGGAGAUCCCGUAUACAACACACUUGCCACAGUGCUUGGCACAUCGAUUAACAGAUAUUUUCCUAAGCAGAAAUCAAAAUGUGUCAAAUCAUCUGAGACAGUCAAUUUGUUCACAAUGCCCACAUUCUUCCAGUACGGAUGCAGCACUAUUCAAAACCAGUUUCAUUUCAAGAGAUACAAUGCAGC